UUGAUUUACUCUCACAAAACUUCAUCAGCCCUUUUUCUCUCUCUUUCUCUCUCUCUGGCGACUCAUGAACAUAUCUGUAAGGAUUUCACCAGAUCUAGGGUUUUACUUUCAUUCGAAUUCAAAUCCAUGACCCCAACCUGUGACGGUGUGGUGUGCAGUGUUAAAAUCCGCUGAUUAGGGUUCCGGCAGUGGGAUUCUCGAGCAGAUUGGUGGCAGACGAGCAUCCGGCUGUAGAUGGUGGUUUUCUGGUAGAUCUAAGUUUUAAACCCCCAGCCGCUCCUUUUCGUUCUCUCUCAAAGAUUCAGUCCAGAUCUGCCCUCACUUCGCGAUUCACCAUAAGCUAAGAGGAGACAUGAUAGAGGAGAAAGGGAGCCGCCAAAUUUUUGUCUGCACAUAAUAAUGGUGGUUAGGGUUUUCAAUUUUGCAACUUAUGUUUAUUUUUUUUUUUUUUUUUUUUUUUGCCAUGUUAGUUCAAUUGAUGGGUUCAGGGACUCUGAUAUUGAAGCCUCACAUAAGUCAACAAUGUCCUAAAGGAUGGUUUAGUCUGAUUAUCAUUACUGUUGUAAUUUAGACAUGACAUUGAAAAGCAAUGUGGCGAGUUCAAGGUUUGUAAAUAAACAAGUUAAUGAUUUCUUUAUGUAUUUACAUUAGUAUUGAUACCUUAACUAAUUGAAAAUCUAUUUAGCAGCUUUUAUAUUUUCAGCAUGACAAAAACGGUGGACUGAAUCUGGUCUUUUUGCUAUUUUAGUCAAAUUGAAAAACCUGAUAUUGGACCUGCUGAAUUGUUUUUUUAUCUUCUUUGGCAUUCAUCCACUUUGGGAAAAGUUUACCUGAUAUUGUUUUCGUUAAUGUCCGCCAAAUAAUUUAUUCAUUAUGCAUGCUUGUUAUAUAAUUUGUGCCCCCUUAGUCUCUUAUUGACCAAUUUGAACAUGGUGUAGGUUGUCAAAGCACAACACUCGACUCAAGGAAGGGGAUGCACUAUCAUACAUGUUAAAGCUUUCUAUGUGUUCAUUUGGUAUAUAUUUUUAAGCGUUUUUGGCUGUUAAACUUUUAAUUAUUUGUGAUGUGUAGGUUGGAAUACCCUGGAUUGGACCUGAGUAUAGCUUUCUGAAAGAUCGAGGUUGUGCCGAAUAGUAUAUCAUCACUGAUGAAGAAGCAUUGGAAGGUACGGGGGAUGCUAUUUGCUAAAGAUGUCCGUAAACAGUUGUCUCAAAGAAUGCAGAAGAUUGCAAAAGUUUUUGGGUUGGAUUUCAAUGCAGUUCAUCUGUCAGAAUUAGAAAAAUAGCUGGAUCCAAAAAACAAACUGGAAUCCUUUCAAGGAUGAGAAUGUGAAAUUUAUUGACGAAAUUCAACCUAAAACUCCACAAAUAACAAAUAAGAGAACUGCACUGAACAGUGUUUCCACCACGACUGCAACGAGCCAAAUUUCAUUGGAAAACAGCAACAAGAAACUGGUCCAGCGAUGACAGUUAAUCAAGAGGGAGUAUUGGCUACUGCCUACUGGAGGCGAGAGUUUUUUUUUUUGUUUUGUAACAGAUAUGAUUGCAUUUAUAAGGUGACAAUUGGAGUUUGUCGUUUUGGGACUCGAAAAGCAGCCAUUGUUUCCAACAAUCCCGAACAAAUCGUUCAACCCGCUUUUGAGUUUUCAGACCGUAAGAGAAGCCAAUUCAAUUCGGAACAGGAUCGGGACUCUCUACUGGAGCUAUAGCUGGUAUUGUAAUGCUUCUGUCGGGACGAAUCAUGCUUGGUGUUGGCAUUGGCUUUGGUAAUCAGAAUGGAGAAGAAAUGUGAGCCAUUGAAAGAGGUUGGUUCUGCCAAUUUUAGAGCAGCUAGGCUGGUUAAAGAUAAGACUAAGGAGUUGUUUGCGGUCAAAUACAUUAAAAGACAAUCAAAGGAAAUGAGUGAGAAUGUGCGCCUCUAACAAGUUCUUUGACGGCUAUGGUGGUGGAGCUUGCCCGACAGGAGGUUGAUCUUCUCCGACUAAUGGUUUAGUGGUUGCAGCCUUUAUGAUCACCCACAUUGACAUCACUUGUAGCAUAUUUGUUGUUAAAACUUAUUUCGAGAAGCUUUCUUUAGAUAUUAUCAUUUCAUACCAUAAGAAUUGAGGUUUGUUAACAUGUUACAUACUUGUAUUGAAAUAAAUGAAAUUUACAUAGUUGCCUUCGCCGCAUCGCGCCGAUGUCAGCUUUUUUUUUAAUUAA